rnacentral:rRNA from 1 species
GUGGGGAAUUUUGGACAAUGGGCGCAAGCCUGAUCCAGCAAUGCCGCGUGCAGGAAGAAGGCCUUCGGGUUGUAAACUGCUUUUGUACGGAACGAAACGGUCCGGGUUAAUACCCUGGGCUAAUGACGGUACCGUAAGAAUAAGCACCGGCUAACUACGUGCCAGCAGCCGCGGUAAUACGUAGGGUGCAAGCGUUAAUCGGAAUUACUGGGCGUAAAGCGUGCGCAGGCGGUUUUGUAAGACAGGCGUGAAAUCCCCGGGCUCAACCUGGGAAUUGCGCUUGUGACUGCAGUGCUGGAGUGCGGCAGAGGGGGAUGGAAUUCCGCGUGUAGCAGUGAAAUGCGUAGAUAUGCGGAGGAACACCGAUGGCGAAGGCAAUCCCCUGGGCCUGCACUGACGCUCAUGCACGAAAGCGUGGGGAGCAAACAGGAUUAGAAACCCGAGUAGUCC